UACGGAGGGUGCAAGCGUUAUCCGGAUUCACUGGGUUUAAAGGGUGCGUAGGUGGGUUGGUAAGUCAGUGGUGAAAUCCCCGAGCUUAACUUGGGAACUGCCAUUGAUACUAUUAAUCUUGAAUACCGUGGAGGUUAGCGGAAUAUGUCAUGUAGCGGUGAAAUGCUUAGAUAUGACAUAGAACACCAAUUGCGAAGGCAGCUGGCUACACGAAUAUUGACACUGAUGCACGAAAGCGUGGGGAUCAAACAGGA
rnacentral:rRNA from 1 species